rnacentral:sRNA from 1 species
CAGUCACAGCACAUGACGGAGGUUGUGAGGCGCUGCCCCCACCAUGAGCGCUGCUCAGAUAGCGAUGGUUGGCUCUGACUGUACCACCAUCCACUACAACUACA